UACGUAGGGGGCUAGCGUUGUCCGGAAUCAUUGGGCGUAAAGCGCGCGUAGGCGGCCAGAUAAGUCCGGUGUGAAAGUCACAGGCUCAACCUGUGAAUGCCGCUGGAAACUGUCUGGCUAGAGUCCGGAAGGGGCGAGUGGAAUUCCUGGUGUAGCGGUGAAAUGCGCAGAUAUCAGGAGGAACACCAAUGGCGAAGGCGGCGCUCUGGGCUGGAACUGACGCUGAGGAGCGAAAGCGUGGGUAGCAAACAGG
rnacentral:rRNA from 1 species